GGACUGGAUCAACGGCCUGACGAUAAGAAAGCUGUCUCUCUUUACUAAACUCUGAAGUUAGCUGGAUAGUGAAGAGACUCUCUUAGCAAAGCGGGACGAGAAGACCCCGUUGAGCUUUAGUAAAAAUUGUUUAUUAAAAACUUGAUUACUUGAGUUGGGGCAACUAUCUUUCUUUUUUAAAACAAAGAUAAAAAUGUUUUGAGUUGAUUCUUUUAUGACCCUUAAUCUUAGGAAUAGUAGAAAAAGUUACCACGGGGAUAACAGCGUAAUUUUUUUUGAGAGUUCUUAUUGACAAAAAAGUUUGCGACCUCGAUGUUG
rnacentral:rRNA from 1 species